rnacentral:rRNA from 1 species
CUGCGAAUGGCUCAUUAUAUAAGUUAUCGUUUAUUUGAUAGUACCUAACUACUUGGAUAACCGUGGUAAUUCUAGAGCUAAUACAUGCUAAAAAUCCCGACUUCGGAAGGGAUGUAUUUAUUAGAUUAAAAACCAAUGCCCUCUGGGCUCCUUGGUGAUUCAUGAUAACUCUUCGAAUCGCACGGCCUUGCGCCGGCGAUGGUUCAUUCAAAUUUCUUCCCUAUCAACUUUCGAUGUUUGGGUCUUGGCCAAACAUGGUCGCAACGGGUAACGGAGGGUUAGGGCUCGACCCCGGAGAAGGAGCCUGAGAAACGGCUACUACAUCCAAGGAAGGCAGCAGGCGCGCAAAUUACCCAAUCCCGAUUCGGGGAGGUAGUGACAAUAAAUACUGAUACAGGGCUCUUUUGGGUCUUGUAAUUGGAAUGAGUACAAUUUAAAUCCCUUAACGAGGAACAAUUGGAGGGCAAGUCUGGUGCCAGCAGCCGCGGUAAUUCCAGCUCCAAUAGCGUAUAUUAAAGUUGUUGUGGUUAAAAAGCUCGUAGUUGAACCUUGGGCCUGGCUGGCCGGUCCGCCUCACCGCGUGUACUGGUCCGGCCGGGCCUUUCCCUCUGUGGAACCCCAUGCCCUUCACUGGGUGUGGCGGGGAAACAGGACUUUUACUUUGAAAAAAUUAGAGUGCUCUAGGCAGGCCUAUGCUCGAAUACAUUAGCAUGGAAUAAUGAAAUAGGACGCGUGGUUCUAUUUUGUUGGUUUCUAGGACCGCCGUAAUGAUUAAUAGGGACAGUCGGGGGCAUCAGUAUUCAAUUGUCAGAGGUGAAAUUCUUGGAUUUAUUGAAGACUAACUACUGCGAAAGCAUUUGCCAAGGAUGUUUUCAUAAUCAGGAACGAAAGUUAGGGGAUCGAAGACGAUCAGAUACCGUCGUAGUCUUAACCAUAAACUAUGCCGACUAGGGAUCGGACGAUGUUAUUUUUUGACGCGUUCGGCACCUUACGAGAAAUCAAAGUGCUUGGGCUCCAGGGGGAG